AUGCCGCUCGUUACCCCACUGCCGCCGCCUCUGCCGCCGCCCGAGCAGUCCCGACUGAGCCCGGCAGGAUCGCUCUGCCUUUUCCGCAACAUCAUUCCAUUAAUCGCCGGGAGGCAAGAAAAGGCUCUGGGCGCCGGGGCUGCCGUGCUGCGGGGGGGGGCGAGCUCCGCCGGGGCUCCCGCACCGCUCCGACUCCAGGCUCCGCUUUACGGCUGUCCAGCGGCGGCUCUUCGCUCACCGGGAGCCCCCCGGGCCGCGCUCCGGCAUCGUGCGGCUUAUCGAUUUUUUUUAUUAUUAUUAUUAUUAAUUCUAUUUUCCCCCCCUCCUCUUUGCACUUCCCUCCCUUCCUCCGGCUGCGGGAUCCUGCGCAAAGUUCCCUUCAGGAGACGGAAUACAGCCCGGAGGAGCGGAGCUAUCGCGGGGCCGCAGCCCUGGGGGCCGCCCUCCCGCUGCCCGGGCGCUGCUCGGAGGGGCCGGAGGGGCGGCGGCUGCGCACCAUGUGCCGCCCCCGGCGCACCCGCCGCGGCCCCGCGCCGCCGGCUCGCAGGAAGCGCUGCGGAGGGUGUGGCCCGACCGGGCCGGGAGGGGAGAAAGAAAGAGAAGGGACCGUGGGAGGGGGGUUGGAAAAAAAAAAAAAAGAGGGGGAAAAAAAGAAAAAAAGAGGGAGGAAAAAUAAAAAGCAACCCGCAAAAUAAAAACAAAAAAAUUCAAAGAGCCACCGGAUCCGGGCGCUGGGGGAGGGAGGGCGGGAUCCGCUCCCCUUCCUUCUGCCGCUGCUUCACUCCUUCCUGCCUCGGUCAUUCACGCUGCCGCCCGUCGCCGCUUCAUGCCCGCCGUGCUGGGCCCCGCUCGGCGCCGCCGCCCCGCCCCGGCCGGCCCCCGCCGCGCCGCCGCCGCCGCCGCUCCAACUUAGGCUCUGCCCGCAAACAAGGGCGGGGGCUCCGCGCUCCAACCGCGGAUGCUGCAUCCCGGCCGGCCCCGAGCUCCUCCUGCCAUGUUCCGCCGCCGAUCGCCAAGUCCCGGGGAAGGAAAAAAAAUAAAGCUUAA
rnacentral:lncRNA from 1 species